AAUGCAUGGCGGGUGCUGGCACCACGGGUGCGGCUGCCCUGCUGUGCCCGUGCCGUUGGGGCAGAGAGGAAGCGGCUAUUUAUACGCUCAGUGCUCAACCAUGGGCACUAAGAAUGGUUUGUAGCCGAACAUCA
ensembl:snoRNA